CACAUCCAGUUCAAUAUUUUCACCCGACACCCUUAGAGAUGUCAAAAGCAGACACUCUAACCUUGAACACAGAACUGACAAAAUUGGUACACAAAGGGGCAAUCGAACCUUCGCCUUUCCCUUGCACCUUCCUCAGCUAUAUAUUUCUGGUUCGGAAAAAAACUGUGGACCACCGUCCCAUUAUCAACCUCAAGGCGUUGAAUCGCUUU